GCCACAGAACUCACUGUCUACCUCCGUGUGACCUUCAUAGCCAUUGGCUCCUCGGUGCCUUUAUUUACCUUCUUCUUACAUAAGCAUAACCUUAGCAUCUACUUCAAAGGGUUGGUGUAGAUUAAAUUAGGAAUUGUGUAAAGGCUUUCAUACAAAUAGAAUUUGGUUAUUGGCUGUUAAUAGCAUUAACUAAUAACUAAAUGAAUUCCCUCAAGCAAGACCUUAUGAAUAUAGAUCUCCUCUGACAUCUUGAAGAGAUACAGCCAACUAUUUCAUAUAACUUGACUCAGAAAUUGGGGAUGUUGGCGUAUGAGUUCAGUUAGGAUUUGUAUUCAUGUCCGCAUCUCAAGAUCAGCUUUCUUUGUAUAAACUACCUUGAGGAACAUAACAUCAUCAAAAGAAAAUAUGCCUUAGAAAGGGAUUUUGAAGGCACAGAAAAACACGAAUUUUAUUUCAGGAGUCACUGGCCUUGCAUACUACAGGUGUUCAUCACUGAGGAUCAACAUGUAUACCAUACUUUUGACACAGUUUUUUCUCUGCAAAUCUUUUUUGAUUUCAUUGGAGAGCUGACUUGAGAGGGUAAGCUGAAUCUGCACUGGUCAAACAGGAGUUGAAUUAAGACUUGGAAUAACAAAAGGGUAACAUGGAUUAUAAAGCCGGUGGAUCACUUCUUAUGAUCUGAUACAUUUUAUACAGAUGCUGCAUUUCAUGGGGCUAACCAUGUUCUGUUAUACAAUGAUCUAAUUCAAUGCCAAGACAUUUCAAGAAUGUUAUACAGACAGUACCCUGGCAAGAAGAAUUUCUCCUUGAUUGGAGUGAGCCAAUAAAAUCAAAGUUAGACAUAAUAAGCAAGAUACAUUGGCUUAGUUGGUAACAGGAAAUGAACAGUGAAUGGUUUCCUUUGUGAGUCCACAGUGAUCAGAUAAUUCUAUUGUCUCUUUCUUGCUAUGAUGU